rnacentral:lncRNA from 13 species
GGGUUCAGAAGCCCCCUGCCUGACACUCGCCCUCACUGUCACCCAGAAAGGAAAUGCACUGUCAACUGGAGAACAGAGAGGUGCAGAACUCCAAGGCCCACAACCCCUCAGAGAGGGCCUGGCGGUAGGAGAGGCACCCACAAGCCGGUCAGGCCAGGCAGGGAAGGGCCGUCUGCCUAGAAGGCGCCCCAGCCUGUGAAGAUGGACUGGAGGGUGAUACCGCCGGAAUGUCCUGCCCAAGUUAGUAUCUGGCAGAAGCCAAAACCCACCACCUCCCAACCCUUGCCGGUCUCACCCCUCUCGCCUGGGGGAUGACCAAGGAACAGCCAGCCCGGGGCGGGAGCAGGGACAAGAUGACCUCAGGAAGCCCAGGGUGCGGGGGUGCUGGCGCCCUCCCCUCCCCCGGCCCACUCUGCAGGCGAGACCCCCAACCAACAUUGCUCCAUCGAUCCUCUCCGAGGCUCACAUCCCAAACACGUCUGCUCACCCGUGGGCCUCCGGCCCCUGACCUCAACCAGGACUGACCUCAAGUCCAGGUGUCAGCGACUGUCACCCGACCUGGUCCCCGGCCCGGCCUCGCCAGGUCUGCCCCGCCGCGCGCACAGCAGGGCCGGGUGGAAGGAGGCCGGGCCUGGCCGUGGCUCAGGCGCCACCUUUCUGGGGGGCUUGGGGGGUGGUCUCAGCCCCUCUCUGGGCUUGGGCCUCCCUAUCAGUCCCCCGGAGCCGGGGCAGGCCUGGUGACGCCCACCGCGGGCUCCAACCCCGCCCCCUCACAGGAGGCCCCGCCCGGCCCCGCCCCCUCACCGGAGGCCCCUCCCCGCCCCCGGCCGCGCGGGCUGCCUGGGAGUCGCGGGUCCAGCCGCGUUCAGAGCGCGCGAGGCUCCGGAGCUCAGCGAGGCUGCGGGCGCCUGCGUCCACCGGCGAAACAGGGGGUCUUACUAUGUUGCCCAGGCUGGUCUCAAACCCCUGGCCUCGUGAUCCUCCUGCCGUGGCCUCACAUAGCAUGGAGAUUACAGGGGUGAGCCACUGUCCCAAGUGUUGAAAAAGGCACACUUUGAAUGAAGAGACCCCCCAAACAGGCUUUGUGUGAGCAACGUGGCUGUUUAUUCACCUGGGUGCAGGUGGGCUAAGGCCGAAAAGGGCAUUAGAAAAGGGCAGUGGGACAGGAGGUGGUUUUAUAGGUUUGGGGUGCGCAGUGGAAAGUUAGAGGAAGAUCGGUUACAGUGGUGGGGGCAGGGACAGGGAGUGCACAUUACCAUAAGUUCAGGUACAAUGGCGGGUGGGGUGAGGCGGAAGAGUAGUUAAGAUGGCGGGGUGGGGUGAGGAGUAUUCGUAUUAUCAUAGUAACCGUUAGGAUGGCAGGGUGGGCCGGGAGCGGUGGCUCACUCCUGUAAUCCCAGCACUUUGGGAGGCUGAGGCGGGUGGAUCACGAGGUCAACAGAUCGAGACCAUCCUGGUCAUGGUGAAACCCCGUCUCUACUAAAAAAAAAAAAAUACAAAAAAUUAGCUGGGCAUGGUG